rnacentral:rRNA from 1 species
CAACGUUAAUCGGGGCAGGGUGAGUCGACCCCUAAGGCGAGGCCGAAAGGCGUAGUCGAUGGGAAACAGGUUAAUAUUCCUGUACUUGGUGUUACUGCGAAGGGGGGACGGAGAAGGCUAUGUUGGCCGGGCGACGGUUGUCCCGGUUUAAGCGUGUAGGCUGGUUUUCCAGGCAAAUCCGGAAAAUCAAGGCUGAGGCGUGAUGACGAGGCACUACGGUGCUGAAGCAACAAAUGCCCUGCUUCCAGGAAAAGCCUCUAAGCAUCAGGUAACAUCAAAUCGUACCCCAAACCGACACAGGUGGUCAGGUAGAGAAUACCAAGGCGCUUGAGAGAACUCGGGUGAAGGAACUAGGCAAAAUGGUGCCGUAACUUCGGGAGAAGGCACGC